AGCCUACGGGGGGCAGCAGUGGGGGAUAUUGCACAAUGGGGGGAACCCUGAUGCAGCGACGCCGCGUGGGUGAAGAAGCGCCUCGGCGCGUAAAGCCCUGUCAGCAGGGAAGAAAAUGACGGUACCUGAAGAAGAAGCCCCGGCUAACUACGUGCCAGCAGCCGCGGUAAUACGUAGGGGGCAAGCGUUAUCCGGAUUUACUGGGUGUAAAGGGGGCGCAGACGGGAAGACAAGUCAGAUGUGAAAUCCCGCGGCUCAACCGCGGCACUGCAUUUGAAACUGUUUUUCUUGAGUACCGGAGAGGU
rnacentral:rRNA from 1 species